rnacentral:rRNA from 1 species
UACAUGGGGUGCAAACGUUGCUCGGAAUUAUUGGGCGUAAAGAGCUCGUAGGCGGUGUGUCGCGUCGGUCGUGAAAACUUGGGGCUUAACCCUGAGCUUGCGGUCGAUACGGGCAUCACUGGAGUUCGGCAGGGGGAGACUGGAAUUCCUGGUGUAGCGGUGAAAUGCGCAGAUAUCAGGAGGAACACCGGUGGCGAAGGCGGGUCUCUGGGCCGAUACUGACGCUGAGGAGCGAAAGCGUGGGGAGCGAACAGG